UACACGUAUGUCUCGAUUUUUCAUCCAACACAUCAAUUCCUACACUAUUCCCUUGUUAGUCAAAAUGUUGGUGCUAACAAUUUGUCAAAAAAAAGUUGGUGGUUUGCAGAAAAUUUUGGCUGCUUUGGACUUUCACGUAUUCCAGUUUUGCUACAUGAUUUUUUCAACCUUUGCUACAGUAACACUAUUCCAGUUUUGCCUAUAAAUUGCUAGGAUUCGCAGCAGCAUUAGAAUCACCCAAAAACCCCAAAACCCCAGAACAACACCAAAGCAGCAUUAGAAUCGCCGGGCUGUUUCUUCGCCGACCGGCCACUAGGCUCUGAACCGAGAACGUGUACUCGUUCCUCCAUCUUCAGGCUACCAAACCCAACAAUCGAAAGGCCGAAGCCUUCUCUAUAUUUUCCUGACCAAAGGCCGCAAUAUCCUUCGGCGGCCAACGUCGAAUUCCCGACUUAGCCACCGGCCAACUUACGGCCUUCGUUUCUCACUAUCCUUACGACGAAAAAGGAUCGAGAAACCACCGUUGUGUAGCCUGAUCUACCUCGCACGAGGAAAACUAAGUCGUAGACCUUCGCGGCUAAACACCAUCGCGGAACGACGACCGGAAAACCCCCGACGGACAACUUCCAUUAGUGCUCACUUGGACAAGGGUUCAAAUAAACAAAAGCGUCUGAGUAACCUAUCGCGCUAAGGAAAGAGAAUCAUUGUCUUAAGUAGCAAAACACUGCAAUCAGGUUGAGCUGAUGUGAUGAUGGUGCUGCAAUGAGCGGAGUCUCCAGGGUUGUUAAUAAAUAGUUAACCUGUCUAGAAUAUGUCUUCAUACAUAUGUCUAGCUACUUUCCGCUGCAAGAUGUUGUUGAUGUUAUAGUAUGUUAUGUCAUACUUUGAGUCUUAAGAGAAUGGUUUCAUAUGAUGUAUAACUUGAUUAAUGCUAUUAAUUAAGUUUUAUGCUGUCUUUCAUAGACUAUUUUCAAUUGAGUAUUCAUGAAUAAAAAUGACGAGUUUUAUUAA